ensembl:lncRNA
UUUUUUUUUUUUUCUCCAAAACAAUUAAAAUUUAAAAAAGAUUUUUUUUUAACACUAAAACAGGCGUAUAAUCUCAGAAUAAAGGACAGUCCCUUAAAUGGCAUGCAUAGAUCUUGCCUUGUUCAUCUCGAUAUUGGAUCCCACACCAAUGAGAAUGGACACCAGCCUUAGGGAAAGGCCUCUGGACUGCUGGUGGCAAGGGCCUGGUUUCUCAUUUCAUUUUUGUCUUCAACUUGCAAAAUCCUGAAGGAGGUUCGGGAGCCAGUUAUGUCAUCUGAGCCUUGGUUUCUUGUCAGUAAAAUGAAGACCAAAACGAGUGCUGCUGGAGGAUGGACCCAGGGAAAUCCUGUAAAGCAGUGCUGUGUGUUUGUGGGUGUUUGUUUGCAGAGCCAUUUUGUAAAGUUUCUCCUUGGAAGGCCUGAAAUCCCGGAUGCCAGGUCCCCGAAAGGGCCCGGGGCAUAGAAGCUGGGAAUGUGCAAGGAGAGAACUCUGAGAUCAGCCCCUGGGCUCUCCCCUGCCCGCCAUCCUCAGACGAGGACCCUGAAGAGUGGAGGAUCUGCCCAGUGUCCCUGGUCUUGCAGGGAGCUGGAGGCAGGGCUGGAUUGAGGACCCAGGUCUCUGGACUGAGGAGCCAGGGCAGAAAGGCACCCUGUACCACCGACCCAAGAAACGCCCUAAGGCUCUAAAACGCUGCCAGUCUGCCAGAUCUGGAGCAGCCUCCCCCAGCCCGGCCAGCCUCAGGGCUUUCUCCUCAGAGGGGAGAGCUUUGGAGCUGGACUGACACCUGAGGUUUGAACGCCAGCUCUGCCACUUGUUAGCUGUAUGACUCGGGGCAAGUUCCUGAACCUUCCCCACAACUCAGUUUCUUAUCUGUGAAAUGAAGGCUAGAACACGCCAGCCCCUAGACUUACAGCAGCAGGAGUGCAUUUGGCAGGGAGAGUAACAGCCCCCCAAGCCUGUCCAUGUCCUUCUUCCUGGAACCUGUGGCCGUUACCUCACAUGGCAGGAGGAACCUUGAGAUGGGGUGACUGUCCUGGGUUAUCCAGGCCCAUGUCAUCAUGAGGAUCAUUAAAAUACACAAGAAGGAGGCAGGAGAGGCAGAGGAGAUGAGAGGACAGAGCGAGGCUGGAGCGGUGUGACUGCUGGAGGGGGGCCGUGGGCCAAAGCAUGUGGGCGGCCUCUCGAAGCUGCAAGAGCCAAAGAAGCUGCGUUUCCCUAGAGCCUCCGGGAGGAAUACGACUCUGCUGACACCACGCUUUUAGCCUCGUGUGACACAUUUUGGACUUUUGACGGCCAGAACUGUAGUAUGUGGUAAUAUAUUUACGUCGUUAAGCACUCAAUUUGAACGUGUAUGGCAAAACUGCAAGGUUUCUGGCUCUUAGUAAAUAGUAACUCUUCUGCACCCCAGAAUCCCAGUUGCUGACAUUCUGUCCCCUGCUCCCACUGAACAUACUUGCACCAUAGGGCCAGCCCUCGACCUCAAUUUCUGGCAGCAGAAGUGGGGGCAGGCAAGGGAUCACAUUUUCUCUGUCUUGGCUUCCAUGUGCAGAUGCGGACACGAGGGACCUCUGUUCUGGGACUGACCCACCCCCAGGGCUCCGAGGACUGAGCAGAGGGGGAGGCCACUGCCUGGCCAGCCCAGCUUUGUGCCUGUUGUCUGGAGAGUGGGAGGGAGCCGCCGCCCUGCAGGGCAGCUCGCAGGAUAAGAGAGGUUCCUUUCUUUUGCAGGGGGUGCUCCCCCCAGCCAGCAUACGGGGAUCUCAGAAGCUUAGCAACUGGUCUCCAAGCUACGAGCCUCUGUUUUGUCCUGCACUUUGGAUCAUGACUGACAUGUUUAUGGCAGAUCUGAUAGCUGACAUCUGCACAGUUCUUUAGUGGUCAAAGCAGUUUCAGGAUGAACUUAGUUGGUCCCUGGAAGGCCAGCAGGCCAGGUGUUUUCCUUGUGAGGAGGCUGCAGUUGAGAGCUGCCCUGCAUCCCUUGGCCGUCAGUGUUUGGUCCUGGGAGGAAGGGAAUCAGGGGGCCUGGCUUCCAGAUCUUUGGUGGUUGCCUGCUGGCCAGCAGCAGCCGGGCCCCCAACUCCCACAGUCCUUUGCCCAGCACUGCUCAGCUUCCUGGUGUGGGGAUUUGGUGGCACUGCAUCAGGGGAGUGCUGUUUGGCAGCAUCUUAUCACCGAGCAGAAGCUUCCUUUUCUCCUUAUUCCCUAGUGUGUCUGCUCCAUCUCAUUGUAAGAUAUUUGGCUGAAACCAGCCCAAGCCCCUCAGUAGUAAUAUUCUGGAUAAGAAGGACAUCUUUCUGCACAGAGGCCUAUGGGAAAACCACCACCAACAGCAAACGGGGCACAUCUCAGAACCAGACUUGGGGUCCAGCCAGUCCUCGUCAGAGGUGCCAAGUGCCAGGAUUGGACUAGCUGUUUAGUGGGUGCAGGGCCCCUGACACAGGCCCUUAGUCCUACCGCCCUUUGCCCCUCAUCUCGGGAGCCUCCAAAGUGACCACCGCUAGAGUGGCUUCCCUGAAGCCAUACACGUGGGAGUACGGCUGGCUGGCUGCAGGAGUGGAUUUUAUUCCGAAUGACUGGCCGUUUAUUUCACAACUGAUGUCCCAACUUCACACCGCUCAGUCUGCACCGGGAGGACUCUGUCCCCUGCUAGGCCUGGCAUAUAACAGACACUCGACAAAUAUUUGCUCAGUGACCCACACUGGCACCCCA